GAUCAUGCUCAGGAUGAACGCUAGCUACAGGCUUAACACAUGCAAGUCGAGGGGCAGCAUGAACUUAGCUUGCUAAGUUUGAUGGCGACCGGCGCACGGGUGAGUAACACGUAUCCAACCUUCCGUUUACUCAGGGAUAGCCUUUCGAAAGAAAGAUUAAUACCUGAUAGUAUGGUGAGAUUGCAUGAUAGCACCAUUAAAGAUUUAUUGGUAAACGAUGGGGAUGCGUUACA
rnacentral:rRNA from 1 species